rnacentral:rRNA from 1 species
UGGGGAAUUUUGGACAAUGGGGGAAACCCUGAUCCAGCCAUCCCGCGUGUGCGAUGAAGGCCUUCGGGUUGUAAAGCACUUUUGGCAGGAAAGAAACGUCAUGGGUUAAUACCCCGUGAAACUGACGGUACCUGCAGAAUAAGCACCGGCUAACUACGUGCCAGCAGCCGCGGUAAUACGUAGGGUGCAAGAGUUAAUCGGAAUUACUGGGCGUAAAGCGUGCGCAGGCGGUUCGGAAAGAAGAUGUGAAAUCCCAGAGCUCAACUUUGGAACUGCAUUUUUAACUACCGGGCUAGAGUGUGUCAGAGGGAGGUGGAAUUCCGCGUGUAGCAGUGAAAUGCGUAGAUAUGCGGAGGAACACCGAUGGCGAAGGCAGCCUCCUGGGAUAACACUGACGCUCAUGCACGAAAGCGUGGGGAGCAAACAGG